rnacentral:SRP_RNA from 1 species
GCCGGGCGUGAUGGCUCAUGCCUGUAAUCCUAGCACUUUGGGAGGCCGAGGCAGGCAGAUCACCUGAGGUCAGGAGUUCGAGACCAGCCUGGCCAACAUGGUGAGACCCUGUCUCUA